rnacentral:rRNA from 1 species
UCGGGAAUUUUGGGCAAUGGGCGAAAGCCUGACCCAGCAACGCCGCGUGAAGGAUGAAGUAUUUCGGUAUGUAAACUUCGAAAGAAUAGGAAGAAUAAAUGACGGUACUAUUUAUAAGGUCCGGCUAACUACGUGCCAGCAGCCGCGGUAAUACGUAGGGACCAAGCGUUGUUCGGAUUUACUGGGCGUAAAGGGCGCGUAGGCGGCAAUUCAAGUCAUCUGUGAAAUCUCCGGGCUUAACUCGGAACGGUCAGAUGAUACUGCUUUGCUAGAGUGCAGAAGGGGCAAUCGGAAUUCUUGGUGUAGCGGUGAAAUGCGUAGAUAUUCGGAAGAACACCAGUGGCGAAGGCGACUGACUGGACAAGUAUUGACGCUGAGGUACGAAAGCGUGGGGAGCAAACAGGAUUAGAUACCCACGUAGUCCCUGAGCGGGCUGGCAAGGCGCAU